rnacentral:rRNA from 1 species
UACGGAGGAUCCAAGCGUUAUCCGGAUUUAUUGGGUUUAAAGGGUGCGUAGGCGGCUUUUUAAGUCAGGGGUGAAAGACGGUGGCUCAACCAUCGCAGUGCCUUUGGUACUGAAGAGCUUGAUUAAACUUGAGGUAGGCGGAAUGUGACAAGUAGCGGUGAAAUGCAUAGAUAUGUCACAGAACACCGAUUGCGAAGGCAGCUUACUAAGGUUUGAAUGACGCUGAGGCACGAAAGCGUGGGGAUCAAACAGG